rnacentral:lncRNA from 1 species
GCUGAUGAACAAAAGGUUUUUGUCAGCCUUAGGGCAGUGUUUUUAGAAAAAAAGAUUUUGGAGAAGGAAUUAAUGUCUCUAAGGUUGAACUCGAUGAAAUUCAAUAGGUAGAACUAACACAGUCUAGUGAACCCACAAAAUCAGAUUUGACGAUGUCAAAUCUGGAACCUGUUGUAGAGGCACCAUUAUGGAGAUUUGAUAGAGUAUCGCAUCAACUGGACAGAUACUAUGAUUUUUUGAUUCGGGAUGGAGAUCCUAUUGAACUCGAUGAGAACAAUGA